AAUGAACGCUGGCGACAGGCCUAACACAUGCAAGUCGAACGAGUGGCGGACGGGUGAGUAAUGUCUGGGAAACUGUCUGAUGGCGGGGGAUAACUACUGGAAACGUUAGCUAAUUCCUCAUUCCGUCUGCUGUUCCCCGAUGGGCUUAGCUGGUAGGGGGGGUAAAGGCUCCCCUAGGCGACGAUCCCUAGCUGGUCUGAGAGGAUGACCAGCCACACUGGAACUGAGACACGGUCCAGACGCCUACGAGAGGCAGCAGUGGGGAAUAUUGCACAAUGGGCGCAAGCCGGAUGCAGCCAGGCCGCGUGUAUGAAGAAGGCCUUCGGGUUGUAAAGGACGUUAAGCGGGGAGGCGGUACCCGCAGAAGAAGCACCGGCUAACUCCGUGCCAGCCGCCGCGGUAAUUC
rnacentral:rRNA from 1 species